rnacentral:rRNA from 1 species
AUGUGUCCUCGGAAGCGCUUUACUUCAUACAAGAGUUUGUCCAGGCUUGUCCUUUGCUACAAAAAGGAUUGGGCUACCUUGUUGCACCUUACUUACUUUUGUUACUUGUUGCUCGUUACAAUUAUCUUAUCACAAAACUAUCUGUUACCACUUAUUUCAGUACUUGCAGAGAAUAACUUGCUGGAAACCGCUUAUCAUUUCCUAUACUUGUGGGUCAUCAAUCACCAUUUGGAUAAAGGGGCAAGGGAAUUCAUGAUGUUAUCCAUACAACGGUGUUUGGAUAAUAGAGCAAGAAACAUUUGGCAAUGCACUUCCAAUGUUAUUGUUGCUGUUCGGCAUACCACAGUCAUGCUUCGAGGUAACAUUAACAUGGUGUUUCAAGCAAGAUUGAAUCUGAAGGUCACAAGAAGUACAAAGGAACACUUCCAAGAAAGUUAA